AAUGAACGUUGGCGGCGUGGAUUAGGCAUGCAAGUCGAGCGAGAACCCCGCAAGGGGGGACAGCGGCGAAAGGGACAGUAAUGUGUAGAUUAUCUGCCCUCAGGUCCGGGAUAGCUGCGGGAAACUGCAGGUAAUACCGGAUAACAUCUCCGGAUCAAAGGUGUGAUUCCGCCUGAGGAUGAGUCUGCAUCCUAUUAGCUAGUUGGUGGGGUAAUGGCCUACCAAGGCAUUGAUGGGUAGCAGGUGUGAGAGCACGACCUGCGUCAUUGGGACUGAGACACUGCUCAGACACCUACGGGUGGCUGCAGUCGAGAAUCGUCGGCAAUGGGCGCAAGCCUGACCGAGCGACGCCGCGUGUGGGAUGAAGGCCGUCGGGUUGUAAACCACUGUCAGAGGGGAUGAAAUGCAGGUGGGUUCUCCCAUCUGUUUGACAUAGCCUCAGAGGAAGGACGGGCUAAGUUCGUG
rnacentral:rRNA from 1 species